AGUGUAGGCGGGAUUUUAAGUCAGAAGUGAAAAUUACGGGCUCAACUCGUAACCUGCUUUUGAAACUGAAAUUCUUGAGUGAAGUAGAGGCAAGCGGAAUUCCUAGUGUAGCGGUGAAAUGCGUAGAUAUUAGGAGGAACACCAGUGGCGAAGGCGGCUUGCUGGGCUUUUACUGACGCUGAGGCUCGAAAGCGUGGGGAGCAAACA
rnacentral:rRNA from 1 species